GUAAGACAGGAAGGGAGUGAGAUUAAGGUGAGAAGUGGGAGGGGAAGGAGGGAAACCGAGAGGAAUUGAGGGUGGGCUCGGCGUAUCUAGAGCAGUCCGCGGAGGACGCUGAGGCUCGCCGGGGAAGUGCUGUGCCCGAGGCGCCCCAAAGGUGGGCGGCGGUGCCAGCUCAGACCCACGCCUCUGUCCAAGUCCCGACUCCUGCGGACUCGGCUGCAGGCGGGCUCCAUGAGGGCGGGCAGCAGGGCUCAGACGAUCCGGCUCGGUUUGGUCAGCAGACCCCCGCAUCUGCUGAGCCUGUUGCAGCUGCCUGUGGCUGGGUUCCGGCACUCAGAGACCCUGGGCCUGCUCGAGAGGGGCUGACAUUAUGGUGGGCAUCAGAGACACCCACACAGAGCCUCACUUGAUCCAUGUGGCAGUGCCCUGGGAGAGGGCAGGGAGGGGUGCUGGGAAACACGAGAGGGGCAGGCAUUUGACCUGGGUCCUGAGGACGGGCUGAGGUUCCCAGAAGAAGAAAAACCACAUCAGUCAGAGGCACCAGUAGGUGCCCAUAGGAAUAGAGGGCCUGGUUCCUCCUGGGCCAGGAAGCAGUUUUGUGGGGCUGGAUCCCCGGAUCCUGAGAUGACAGUGGGUGCUGGGGUGUAGCUUGUGCUCAGAGAGGAGGAAAGCUGGCUGAGGCCAGGUUGAGAGGGAUUCUGAGAGCCCAUCUAUUUCUCCUGUUCCCAUCUCCUCUGUUAUACCUGUCCCCAGGCACCUGAAAUGACAAAGGUGCACAACCCCGGUCCUCUGGGCGUGGACUUCAAACCUAUACACAUGUGACAAUCCCCGAGUUAGACAGCCCUCCUUCAGGAGCAGCUCUGGAUGUCAAAGGGUUACGCUGCUGUCAGCAGCCCCUCCCUCUGUCUGACCUGAAUCCCCCCCACCCACCCAGGGACAGCCUCCCCCUCAGGGUGACUCAGCCCCUGACUCCCAACUCCCUCCCUGCCAUCAGCUAAGACUGUAACUGGUUACCAUAGCGACCUCAAGAAGCCCGGUUCAUACCCCUCCUUCCUGAUGAGACCUGGAGGUCUAAAUUGCUCCUGAGAUGAAUGCUGUGCACAGCUCCUCACCUGCAGAGAUAUUUGACAGGCAGCAUCCCAGCGCCUUCCUCCCCUGCACAAACUCAGGAAGGGAGCGAUGGCAAGAGAGGGAGGCCAGAUGACAGAUACCUCCACCACCGGGCCUCCAGGCUAGCACUUCCCUCCAUAAUAUGGGGGUCCCCAGGGAGAGGAGGACAAAGGACAUGAAGGCAAGAGCUGAAAACUACCAAAGAAGUUUUUGGUGUCCCCAGGAGAAACUACAGAUCUUCACCAAAGAUGAGUGAGGAGACUGUGAAUGGGCAGACACUUCACAUUCACCCAGGGAAGCCUCCAUCCCCUGGUAAAGACACAAGAACAGGGGAGCUGAACCCUUCGCCUCUGGACUUCGGGACCACCCAUUGUAACUAUUCUUCCUCCAUCCCACCUCUUCAGAGCUGUGACUGGCUGGAGGGAGGUGGGCUGCUGGGCUGCCUCCUCUGGGGAUGGAGACAGGGCAGCCUGGCCACAGGCACAGGAGGCAGGACUCAGGAACAGGCUGCUAGAACGCGCAGGUGACAUUCCAGCUGUACCCAGGCCCAGGUCUGGGCCCCAGUUUCCACCUAGAGGUGGUGUGAGCAGUGUGGCAGCUGGCUCUGACCGCCAAGACAUGGUGAGCUGAGGCUGCAGGGCCGUAACCCUGGCAGGCCCCAGCCACACCUGCAGACACAGCCCUCAGAGGCAGAGGCUAACACGGUUAAUUGGUUCCAACCUUCAGCUAAAAGUAGGAGCAUUGAUCAGGCACCCGUGAGGCUCAGAAGCUGUGGCCUCUGAGGAUGCUGUACUUCCGUGUAAGCUCAAACCCAGAAAAGAGAAAUCCGAUCAGAGGUUGUGGUGCUCACUUCCCAGCCGGGCCAGAGUGGGGCAGAGAGGCGGCAGGCUAUAAAUAGUGGAGGAACCGCCACUGAUAAUCCACUGGAGAGAAGGGAUAGGGCACUCUUCCCCCAGGAAGGAAUGGCAGGCCUCUCCAAGGAACAGCGGGACCUGUCAGAGCAGAGGACAGGAGAUGGUGGCCUCAUCCCCACCCACCCAAGGCCCAGUCCCCUUUCCCUGUCUGUGAAGUGCUUGCUUCUGCCCUGACUCCGUGGAGCAUGGGGACUUACAGGGCAGGCAUAGGAUGAGGGGACUUCAAAUAAUGGUCUUGGGAGUUGAGUUCAGGCUCUCAGUGGAGCCAGGGCUUGGCCAGAGUUCAUAUGAUUUCAGUGUAGGAAGCCGACACCGUCUGUGCAUCCCGACACGGAAGCACAAGUCCACUCUCCUGUCACUCAGCCAUCCCUCCAGAAAUGCAUCCAUCCAUCCAUCCAUCCAAAUAUCUAGUCAUUCAGUAAUUCAUUUGACAAAUAAGAAUUGAGUCCCAAUGAUGUGGCAAGCCCUGUGCUAAGUUCCUUGUGACCUCACCUGUAAACGGUGCUGCUUCUCCCCGUCCUUCUUAGGGUGCUUGUAAGAACCCAUCGAGGAAAGAAAUGUGCUUGCAGCCUGGGAAGUAUCACACAUGUAUCGGUGAGUUGGGGCUUUGACAGAGAGAAGCCUUUGGGUGCUUCCAAGAAGGGAACACCCCAGCCCCUAAGAGCUUCCUUUCCCUCCUUUGGUCCUCAAAAUCUCAGCCAAGGAGGCCUUGAUUGGCAUUCAUGGGCUAUGGCUUUUCAGGUCAACUUUGAACUCUUACGCCUUUUUCCUAAUAUGAGGGUCUAGAAUGUAAAUUUUGAGAUCCUUACUGAAGUAUGCUUCCCCCUAAACUUGCUGUGUGCACUUGGGCAGGCCAGGUGACCUCUCUGUGCAACAGUUUCAUCCACUGUAAAAUGGCAGUGACAUGAGUAACUAUCUCUUAGGGCUGUUGUGAUGAUCAGAGAGUCAGUAUAUGUGAAUUGCUUAGCAUAGUGGCUGGCACAGAGUAGGUACUAUCUAAGGGUGAGCUACUUGUGGAGAUGAUGCAAUCUGGCCCUGGGAAAUGGGGGUUCAGGCUCACCUUUUACAAAGGGACCCUAGGGGGUCCUAUGAGGCAAAUGCUUCUGGCUUUAAGAUACGUCAAGCCUUAGUCUCCUCAGAUUUUAAACCAUCUCCAUAAAACAGCUGUCCUAGGAAGGAAUCUUGGGCUUCUCUCAGAGUCUCAGACCAGAAACUCUGUGUCCUAAGACACUGCAGCCUCUUACAGGAAGGCACUGCAGGUCUCACAGGGAGAGGAAGAGUUAUACAGAACCCUGUCUUCCCUCUUCCUACACUCAUGUGGGUAAAAAGCUUAGAUUUUUCUUGCACUUGGAGUAGAACAAGGGGUACAGCUAAAGUGAUGGACUGCUGAGAGUUUCUAGCUGCUGCUGGAUUCCAUAAGUUCCAUCGGAUUAAGGAUGAGCUUAAUGUAUAAUGUAUAAACCCAUGGACAGAGACACUGCCUUGUUUAAGCAAUGGUUUACAUUCAUAACACAAAUAUAAAUGGAUAGUCAUUUCUUUCUUCAGGGCCCAGCACAAUUCAUUAGUAGCUUCUAGCCUUUUGUCCCUUUCAAGCAGAAAACAGACCCAGCUCAGAGAGCAGUGGCUGGGUCUGCUCAGGACCCAGGAGCCCAAAGCACACAGGAUCCCAAACGCUCCAGAGUCCAUAGAGACUUUGUUGUCAAGCACAUCAGAGAUCAUGACUGCUAUAUAUUCUUGGUGCUUCUUUUCAUCCAUUCAGAGUCUCAAAUGUUCUCUCUUCACUUUCCUGCUUCAUUCAACUAUGCUAAGACUGACAGCCUCCUGAGAUACUAACGUGAUAAGACACAAUCCCUGCCCUCAAGGAACUUUAGGGUAAGCCUGUCUCCCUGACCUUGGCUUCCUGAACUUAGCCUUGUUCCAUAUAAACCUUUUUCCUCCUUCCUACUUUCCUCCCACCAUCAUUGCUGGCUGGUACCAGCUGCUUACUUUGUGUUUCUAGUUGCAUUUCCUUAGCCUCUGUCUCCAGCUGAGCACUGGACUGCACACUGCAGAAAACAAAGGGGAAGAAACAAAGGCACUGGCCUGAAGGAGUUCAUGGCCCACUGGGGAGCUUUUUCAGAAAUAUAACCAAAGAAGCCCCUGCCCUGGAGAGCUUUCAGUCCACAGACAGUGCAUCCUAGAUAGAAAGGGGCCCUCUCUUAAAGAGGUCCAACCCUUCUCAUUCAUGUAACUAUGGCACAAAACAGUAGGUGCCAGUAGCACAAACAGUUCAGAGAAAGAUGCUGCAGAGUGCUGUUGCCUUAGCAUCCCUGGGAAAGGUGCAUGGGCUGUAACCAAGCCCCAUUGUUCCACCUGGGUGAUCAUGGCCAUUGCUAGGGGAGAGCAGAUUUACAUGUGGACACAGGUACUUAUGCUCUACCUGCAGCGACCCAAAACUCUCUUGCUGUUCAAACAUGUCCAAGCAGUCCCCCUGGGUCCAAGGCAGAGGGCCCACUCCAAGUGGGAGACCACAAAAUGACCUUAUACAAACACCAGAAAUUAGGUCUUAGACACAUGAAUGGGACAAAGACUAAGUGUCAAAAUCCCAAACUCAGUCAGCAGCCAAUGGGUGAAGCGGGCGGCAGGAGCAGAGGAGAAUGCAUGCGCUUCCUCCAGUGUCAUCUUUUUCCAUCCCUACGACCCACAGAAGGGUGACAUUAUUCCCCUUUUACAGAUGCAAACACUGAGGCCCAGAGAGGUUAUCUUGCGCAAGGCCCUGCAAUUAGUAAGUGGUAGAACCAAGACCCAAGCUUUUUAUUUUUAAAGCUGGGUCUUUUCAACUAUACCAUUCAGACUACAAAAGCAGAGAAAUAUUUUCCACUUUUUUAUUUGUUAUAAAUAUUUCAUUGAUCAACAUUUAGUUCCUCAGGCACCUGUGUAAGGUCCUCCACGUCCCAGGGCAGGAGGCCCGGGGCUCUAACUCAAGGCCGUGACCCACAGACACACAGGAAAGGCAGUCCCCUCCCUCCCUUCCUGGCCACAGCAGGGCUGGUGCUGCGGUGUCAGCGCUCCAAGGUAUCUGUCGAGGCAAUUUCAGCUCCAGUUUGCUCAAACUCCAGACCAAAGGCUCAGUCGCAGACUCUGAUGUGCCGAACAAAACCAGAGACAGGAACUCGUCUCAAUCACUGAGUCAGCUGGCGGUGAGAAAAUGGGCAGGUGGAAAGCUGGGGAGGGCCCUCCCUCCAUGUCCCCAUUUCCUAGACUGAGCUGGCCCUGCAUUUUCUGCACCCAGGGCUGCUCCCAGAGCAGGCACUAGAACCCUCUGCAGAUCCCAGACCCUGUUCUGCCCUGGAAGCAGUGAGGCACCUCACAGGCCCCCGAAGUCAUCUGAGGCUGGUGGCUGGAGUGCAGUGGCAUGAUCACAGCAAGAAAUCCUCUAACCUCAGCCUUCUGAGUAGCUGGAACUCUAGGCAGUGCCACCACACCCGACUAAUUUUAUUUUUUGUAGAGAUGGGGUCUGGCUGCAUUGCCCAGGCUGGUCUCAAACUCCUGGGCUCAAGGGAUCCUCCUUCCUCAACUUCCCAAAGUGCUGGCAUUACAGGUGUGAGCCACUGUGCCACCUGGGACUGCUUUCUAAAGAGAUUUUCUAUCUUAGAAUCUGUGGGGGCCACUUGAGGAGGAGCUGGUGAGAGGUGGCAUAAAGGUCUGGCCUGUUCCCCUUUAUUUAGGGUUGAGGAACCCCACAGCGAGGGACUGCUAACUCUGCCUUCAGCAUGUCUGGGAGCAGAGUCUUUCCCCUGGCUCCAUGAAGGCCUCCUGCGGAUCAUUUCUCACCUGCUGCGGAGCCACCUGCGGUGCUGACUGUCCCCUCCUGAACCCUGUGCCUCUCUAUGCCUGUCUUCAUUACCAGGGUACGAUGUCCUUCUCCAGCUAGGUGGAUUGGUUCCCAAAGACUCCGGAAUGAGGAACAUUUGCAGACAGCAAACUUAAAACCCUACGAGAAGAAUAGGGUGGGGGAAUUGUGGCUGCAGAUGAGCUUAGGAAGGUCCUUGGAUGUAUUUCUUCACAUGCGUCACAACACCACGCAGCCCUAUACCAAAGACAUGGCACAUCCCGAAGUCUUCCUCAAAGGUAAAUGACAAUCAAUUUCCAAUUUCCAUUAUUUGCUCCAGAGAGGUGGUUCAGGAAUUCCCUCGCCCUCAAGUUUAAAUGAGAUAUUAAUGAAUUAUUUUUGCCUUGUUGCAGACAACAUACCUGUUAGGAGGUGUGUGUGUGUGUGUGUGUGUGUGUGUGUGUGUGUGUGUGUGUGUGUGAUUCUCCAUCCAAGUGUUUACUUCCUUUCUCAUUUCAUGACUUUGGGUUAUUGACUCCUGUCCCUCCCCAACCUCUGCCCUCCCCAGUUGGGUGACCUGGGACCAACUCCCCAACCUCCACAUCUGUCUCCUUAUUAGUGAAAUGGAGCUAUGACAGAACCCAUGAUGUAGGGAUGCUCUAAGAUUUAAAUAAAGUAAUCCAGGUAAAAUGCCUAGUCAAUUGUCUGGCACCUAAUAAGCAUUCAGUCAGUGGUAGCCAUUACUUUCUUAUUAAUAAACUCAAAUAUCACAACCUACCAAGUGUCUGACUAUCCUCAGGGCUUGGCCUCUCCCAGACUUCAUCUGUCCCAUGCUGGCACUGUCAGAACUAUGCCCAUGAGGCCGAAUCACCCUGACUAUUUUGAGGCAACCUUGCUCCCACAUUUCCACCAUCUGUUGAAGGUAUUUCCUCUAUUGACCCCCAGGGAGGCCCAAGAGGGCCAAGUCACAGAUGGGAUGGGGAAGAGAAUCUAGAACUGAUCCCUCUUAAAGACAGUGCAGACUAGCAGACGGCUGCAAAACCUGGGUGUUGGGGCCCUGGGAACUUCCAGAAGUGGACCAUCCAUCCCUACUCCUCCCAGAGUUACACACACAUCCCAAGUUGAGACAGCACCUGUGACUGGCCUGGCCACACACUCACCAUUAGGUGGUCAAGACCGGCUCUCUAAAGUGGCUGCCUCAGGCCCUGUGGCUCCCAGUAACCAAAGUCCACAGGAGGGGUGGUGCAGUCUGAUUGAUCCAGGAAGUGAGCAGUGAUGGGAACAAGGGAUCCCCCCAUCUUUCUACGAGGCCUUGGAGCCGACUGGAGCAUGUCACAGAGGGGUGAGCAGGACUUAUUUCAUCAUAUGUUCAAAUGCUUGUGACAGACUUCCAGACACUUCUGUUCCUGCCUCUUCUCCCAAACACACACCCAUCCACAGGAACCCUGUACUCAUGUCCGCCAGAUUCAUGUCUACUCGAAUAAAAACUUCAAUUCAGUGGUUACGUUUGAUGUCCCUGUGCCUUUCAACACAUUUUUACAUAAUCUGACUUUAGAGCCUUUUCUUUAUAAUAUGCUUCCUUUCUAAGAGGAGCCGAUGCCUUUGGUUAAUGGAGUCUAUUCAAAAAAUACCUAUUGAAUACCUGCUAAGGCCUGCUGAAAGCCAGACACUUGGGGUGCAGGGAGGGGUUGCCAAUGGGAUAGAGGAAGCCAGAGACACAUACUUUCCCUCCAAGAAGCUUAGAGUGGGGGCGGCCUGGGGGAGAUGGAAAUUCACACAACUAAUGCCAGGCUUGGUAAGUACACGGAAAGAAGUGAACACAAAUUGCUUCAGGAACAAAAGCCUAAUUCCUGUGUUUGCAUGGGCCUCUGAUUUCAGGUUUGUGAAUUCAUGAGUUACGAUUUGUUAAUAUACAUCAUGGUGCAUGAAAUAAAGCUCUUGAUCUAAUAACACUAAUACACACCAAAUAGAGUGUGAGCUGGAUGAGUAAUUAGUGAAGCUCUGGGGUGUGACAUUAGCCCUGCUUGUGGAGGGAGGCGUAGCACUGCCUAUGUGUAUAUACAGCCAUGCCUCCAGUAUGGCAGCCACCAGGCACACGUGGCUACUGAGCACUUGAAAUGUGGCUGGUCCAAACUGAAAUGUGCUGUUAAAUACACAUGAGAUAUCAAAGACCAGAUAUCAAAGAAUCAGUACAAGAGAUUAAAACAGCUCAUGAAUACAUUUUGUACUGAUUACAUGUUUAAACAAUAAUAUCUUAUACAGUCAUGCACCAAUCAACAACGGGGAUACAUUCUGAGAAAUGUGUCGUUAGGCGAUUUCAUCAUUGUACGAGCAUCACAGAGUGAGUUACACAUGCCUAGAUGGUGUCGCCUACUACACACCUACGACACACCUAGAUGGUCUAGCCUACUACACACCUAGAUGGUCUAGCCUACUACACACUUAGAUGGUCUAGCCUACUACACACCUAGAUAGUCUAGCCUACUACACUCUUAAUGGUGUUGCCUACUACACACCUAGAUGGUCUAGCCUACUACACACCUAGAUGGUCUAGCCUACUAUACACUUAGAUAGUGUUGCCUACUACACACCUAAAUGGUCUGGCCUACUACACACUUAGAUGGUCUAGCCUACUACACACCUAGAUGGUCUAGCCUACUACACACUUAGAUAGUCUAGCCUACUACACACCUAGAUGGUCUAGCCUACUACACACCUAGAUGGUCUAGCCUACUACACACUUAGAUGGUCUAGCCUACUACACACCUAGAUGGUCUAGCCUACUAAACUCUUAAUGGCGUUGCCUACUACACACCUAGAUGGUCUAGCCUACUACACACUUAGAUGGUCUAGCCUACUACACACCUAGAUGGUCUAGCCUACUAAACUCUUAAUGGCGUUGCCUACUACACACCUAGAUGGUCUAGCCUACUACACACCUAGAUGGUCUAGCCUACUACACACUUAGAUGGUCUAGCCUACUACACAUCUAGAUAGCCUAACCUACUACACACCUAGAUGGUCUAGGCUACUACACCCUUAGAUGGUCUAGCCUACUACACACCUAGAUAGCCUAGCCUACUACACACCUAGAUGGUCUAGCCUGCUACACCCUUAGAUGGUCUAGCCUACUACACACCUAGAUAGUCUAGCCUACUACACACCUAGAUGGUCUAGCCUACUACACACUUCGAUGGUGUUGCCUACUACACACCUAGAUGGUCUAGCCUACUAUACACUUAGAUGCUGUUGCCUACUACACACCUAAAUGCUCUGGCCUACUACACACGUAGAUGGCGUUGCCUACCACACACCUAGGCUAUACGGCAUAGCCUGUUGCUCCUAGGCUACAAACCUGUACAGUACAAUACUGUACUGAAUACAGUAGGCAGUUGUAACACAGUGGUAAGUAUUUGUGAAUCUAAACAUAUUUAAACGUAGAAAAGGUACAAUAAAAUAUGGUAUUAUCAUCUUAUGGGACCAUCCUCAUAUAUGCAGUCCACCAUUGACUGAAAUGUUAUUAUGUGGCAUGUGACUAUGUAUAUUGGGUUAAAUAAAAUAUGUUAUAGAAUUAAAAUUAAUUUCAUCUUACUUCUUUUUACUUUUUUUGUUUUAUUGUAGCUACUGGAAAAUUUAAAACCCCAAAUGUGAUUCACAUUUAUGGUCCACCUUAUAUUCCUAUUGGCCAAUGCAGAUCUAGAGCAUUCAUAUUCGUUUCGUCAUUUAAUUCUCACCACCAUGCUACAAAGUAGGCAUUCACCCCCAUUUUACAGUCAAGCUAAUUGAGGCUCAGAGAAGUAGUAAAUUACUCCAAGUCACAUGACAUUAGGCUUCAGCAACUCACUUGAGCUGAUGACUAUCUUGGGCCAGUGGCUCAAGGCCUUGCAGCAAGAUGAAGGCCAAGACAACCACGUCUACUGGCAGUGUGGCCUGGGGCCAGUUAUUUGCUCCAUUACUUGUGGGUAAGAACAGAAGGAGAGUAGGUACUCCGUGUGUUCAACAAGUGAGGACGG
rnacentral:lncRNA from 1 species